AUUGCACGCUAGCGGGAUGCCUUACACAUGCAAGUCGAACGGAGUGGCGAACGGGUGAGUAAUGUAUCGGAACGUGCCCAGUAGCGGGGGAUAACUACGCGAAAGCGUAGCUAAUACCGCAUACUAUUGGAGCGGCCGAUAUCGGAUUAGCUAGUUGGUGGGGUAACGGCUCACCAAGGCGACGAUCCGUAGCUGGUUUGAGAGGAAGACCAGCCACACUGUGACUGUGCUACGGCCCAGCCGCCUACGGGAGGCAGCAGUGGGGAAUUUUGGACAGUGGGGGAAUCCCUGCUCACGCCAUCCCGCGUGUGCGAGGAAGGCCUUCGGGUUGUAAAGCACUUUUGGCAGGACAGCGGUACCUGCAGAAUAAGCACCGGCUAACUACGUGCCAGCAGCCGCGGUAAUUC
rnacentral:rRNA from 1 species